GUUCCAUGAAGACUAGGAUGGUUAGGUAGCCGCAAUCUUCCUUCUCAAAAAGAGCAGAAUUACUUAUAAAACUGAAGGUCCUAAACUACAGCCAUGUAAAAUAGAUGGUUUUCAAGAGACGAAAGAGAGUCAGUGUCAGAAGAAAUCUGAAGCAGGAAAAACAAGAGAUGGAAAGUAAAUGACAGCAUAUUUUGAACACAUUCAGCCACCCCCAACCCUUUUUUGGCUUCUUUUUUUUUAAAAAUAAUAUGUAAAAAAUGAAACGCGGACUUUGGUUAAUGCAUAUAUUAACUAAAUCAUGUAUCAUAUAUCA